rnacentral:rRNA from 1 species
AGCACCGGCUAACUCCGUGCCAGCAGCCGCGGUAAUACGGAGGGUGCAAGCGUUACUCGGAAUCACUGGGCGUAAAGGACGCGUAGGCGGAUUAUCAAGUCUCUUGUGAAAUCUAACGGCUUAACCGUUAAACUGCUUGGGAAACUGAUAAUCUAGAGUAAGGGAGAGGCAGAUGGAAUUCUUGGUGUAGGGGUAAAAUCCGUAGAUAUCAAGAAGAAUACCUAUUGCGAAGGCGAUCUGCUGGAACUUAACUGACGCUAAUGCGUGAAAGCGUGGGGAGCAAACAGGAUUAGAUACCCUGGUAGUCCACGCCCUAAACGAUGUAUACCGGUUGUUGCUGUGCUAGUCACGGCAGUAAUCCACCUAACGGAUUAAGUAUACCGCCUGGGGAGUACGGUCGCAAGAUUAAAACUCAAAGGAAUAGACGGGGACCCGCACAAGCGGUGGAGCAUGUGGUUUAAUUCGAAGAUACGCGAAGAACCUUACCCGGACUUGAUAUCUAACAAAUCAUCCAGAGAUGGAAGAGUGUCUGCUUGCAGAAAUGUUAAGACAGGUGCUGCACGGCUGUCGUCAGCUCGUGUCGUGAGAUGUUGGGUUAAGUCCCGCAACGAGCGCAACCCACGUCAUUAGUUGCUAACGGUUCGGCCGAGCACUCUAAUGAGACUGCCUUCGUAAGGAGGAGGAAGGUGUGGACGACGUCAAGUCAUCAUGGCCCUUAUGUCCGGGGCGACACACGUGCUACAAUGGCAUAUACAAUAAGACGCAAUAUCGUAAGAUGGAGCAAAUCUAAAAAAUAUGUCCCAGUUCGGAUUGGAGUCUGCAACUCGACUCCAUGAAGCCGGAAUCGCUAGUAAUCGUAGAUCAGCCAUGCUACGGUGAAUACGUUCCCGGGUCUUGUACUCACCGCCCGUCACACCAUGGGAGUUGAUUUCACUCGAAGCGGGAAUGCGAAAUUCGCUACCCUCCACAGUGGAAUCAGCGACUGGGGUGAAGUCGUAACAAGGUAACCGUAGGAGAACCUGCGGUUG